rnacentral:misc_RNA from 1 species
CGUGGGAGCGAGCCUGCUCGCGAUUGGAUCGCUGAUACACCGCGUCGUUUUUUUCGCGAGCAGGCUCGCUCCCACA